CCUACGGGCGGCAGCAGUCGAGAAUCAUUCACAAUGGGGGAAACCCUGAUGGUUCGACGCCGCGUGGGGGAAUGAAGGUCUUCGGAUUGUAAACCCCUGUCAUGUGGGAGCAAAUUAAAAAGAUAGUACCACAAGAGGAAGAGACGGCUAACUCUGUGCCAGCAGCCGCGGUAAUACAGAGGUCUCAAGCGUUGUUCGGAAUCACUGGGCGUAAAGGGUGCGGAGGCUGUUUCGUAAGUCGUGUGUGAAAGGUGUGGGCUCAACCCGCGGAGGGCACAGGAUACUGCGAGACUAGAGUAAUGGAGGGGGAACCGGAAUUCUCGGUGUAGCAGUGAAAUGCGUAGAUAUCGAGAGGAACACUCGUGGCGAAGGCGGGUUCCUGGACAUUAACUGACGCUGAGGCACGAAGGCCAGGGGAGCGAAAGGGAUUAGAUACCCCGGUAGUC
rnacentral:rRNA from 1 species